GAUGAACGCUGGCGGCGUGCCUAAUACAUGCAAGUCGAGCGAACAGACGAGGAGCUUGCUCCUCUGACGUUAGCGGCGGACGGGUGAGUAACACGUGGAUAACCUACCUAUAAGACUGGGAUAACUUCGGGAAACCGGAGCUAAUACCGGAUAAUAUAUUGAACCGCAUGGUUCAAUAGUGAAAGACGGUUUUGCUGUCACUUAUAGAUGGAUCCGCGCCGCAUUAGCUAGUUGGUAAGGUAACGGCUUACCAAGGCAACGAUGCGUAGCCGACCUGAGAGGGUGAGGGGGCACAGUGGAAGUGAGGGGGGGGCGGGGGGGGUGGGGGGGGGGGGGGUGGGGAAUGUUGCGCGAUGGGGGGAAGGGUGACGGAGCGGGGGGGCGUGGGUGGUGAGGGUCUGGGGAUCGUAAGAGUGUGUGAUGGGGGAGGAGGGAGGGUGUAGGUGACUGUGCGCGUGUUGAGGGUGCCGGAUGAGAGAGACGCGGCUAACUACGUG
rnacentral:rRNA from 1 species